rnacentral:rRNA from 1 species
UACGAAGGGGGCUAGCGUUGUUCGGAAUUACUGGGCGUAAAGCGCGCGCAGGCGGUCUUCCAAGUCAGUGGUGAAAGCCCGGAGCUCAACUCCGGAACUGCCAUUGAAACUGUGAGACUAGAGUACGAGAGAGGUGAGUGGAAUUCCCAGUGUAGAGGUGAAAUUCGUAGAUAUUCGCAAGAACACCAGUGGCGAAGGCGGCUCACUGGCCCGGUACUGACGCUGAGGUGCGAAAGCGUGGGGAGCAAACAGG